rnacentral:rRNA from 1 species
AUUGAACGCUGGCGGCAGGCCUAACACAUGCAAGUCGAGCGGAUGAAGGGAGCUUGCUCCUGGAUUCAGCGGCGGACGGGUGAGUAAUGCCUAGGAAUCUGCCUGGUAGUGGGGGAUAACGUCCGGAAACGGGCGCUAAUACCGCAUACGUCCUGAUGGAGAAAGUGGGGGAUCUUCGUACCUCACGCUAUCAGAUGAGCCUAGGUCGGAUUAGCUAGUUGGUGGGGUAAAGGCCUACCAAGGCGACGAUCCGUAACUGGUCUGAGAGGAUGAUCAGUCACAAUGGAACUGAGACACGGUCCAGACUCCUACGGGAGGCAGCAGUGGGGAAUAUUGGACAAUGGGCGAAAGCCUGAUGCAGCCAUGCCGCGUGUGUGAAGAAGGUCUUCGGAUUGUAAAGCACUUUAAGUUGGGAGGAAGGGAAGUAAGUUAAUACCUAGCUGUUGUGACGUUACCAACAGAAUAAGCACCGGCUAAAUUCGUG